rnacentral:rRNA from 1 species
UGGGGAAUAUUGGACAAUGGGCGCAAGCCUGAUCCAGCCAUGCCGCGUGAGUGAUGAAGGCCUUAGGGUUGUAAAGCUCUUUCGCCGGUGAAGAUAAUGACGGUAACCGGAGAAGAAGCCCCGGCUAACUUCGUGCCAGCAGCCGCGGUAAUACGACGGGGGCUAGCGUUGCUCGGAAUCACUGGGCGUAAAGCGCACGUAGGCGGGUCGUUAAGUCAGGGGUGAAAUCCUGGAGCUCAACUCCAGAACUGCCCUUGAUACUGGCGAUCUAGAGUUCGAGAGAGGUUGGUGGAACUCCGAGUGUAGAGGUGAAAUUCGUAGAUAUUCGGAAGAACACCAGUGGCGAAGGCGGCCAACUGGCUCGAUACUGACGCUGAGGUGCGAAAGCGUGGGGAGCAAACA